rnacentral:tRNA from 1 species
CCCGCCGUGGCGGAAUUGGCAGACGCACCCGGUUUGGGGCCGGGCGCCCUGGUAAGGCAUGUGGGUUCGAACCCCACCGGCGGGA